AACGAACGCUGGCGGCGUGCCUAACACAUGCAAGUCGUGCGCGAAAGUCUUCGGAUGAGUAGAGCGGCGCACGGGUGAGUAACACGUAGGUAAUCUUCCUUCAGGUCUGGAACAACCCAGGGAAACUUGGGCUAAUACUGGAUGAGACCACGUAACGAGAGUUACGCGGGAAAAAGCGGGGGACCGUUUCGACGGCCUCGUGCCAGAAGAUGAGCCUGCGUCCCAUCAGCUCGUUGGCGGGGUAACGGCCCACCAAGGCUAAGACGGGUAGCUGGUCUGAGAGGAUGAUCAGCCACACUGGAACUGAGAUACGGUCCAGACUCCUACGGGAGGCAGCAGUGGGGAAUCUUGCGCAAUGGGGGGCAACCCGUGACGCAGCAACGCCGUGUGAGUGAUGAAGGUCUUCGGAUCGUAAAGCUCUGUCGGCAGGAAAGAUGGUUGGCUGACUAACAAGACAGU
rnacentral:rRNA from 1 species